rnacentral:rRNA from 1 species
CUCGACGAGAUCUAGAAAAAUCCAUGAGUACAGUGGCGUACGGGUGAGUAACACGUGGGUAAUCUACCUCUUAGAUGGGGAAUAACUCUGGGAAACCGGAGCUAAUACCGCAUAAGCUCCAGAGAGGAAAGCACCAAUGCGCUGAGAGAGGAGCCCGCGGCCGAUUAGCUAGUUGGCAGGAUAAAAGCCUACCAAGGCAGAGAUCGGUAGCCGGCCUGAGAGGGCACACGGCCACACUGGCACUGAAACACGGGCCAGACUCCUACGGGAGGCAGCAGUGGGGAAUCUUGCACAAUGGGGGAAACCCUGAUGCAGCGACGCCGCGUGAGCGAUGAAACCCUUCGGGGUGUAAAGCUCUUUCGGCAGGGAAGAUGGUGACGGUACCUGCAGAAGCAGCUGCGGCUAACUACGUGCCAGCAGCCGCGGUAAUACGUAGGCAGCGAGCGUUGUUCGGAGUUACUGGGCGUAAAGGGUGUGUAGGCGGUUGUUUAAGUUUGGUGUGAAAUCUCCCGGCUCAACUGGGAGGGUGCGCCGAAUACUGAGCGACUAGAGUGCGGGAGAGGAAAGUGGAAUUCCUGGUGUAGCGGUGAAAUGCGUAGAUAUCAGGAGGAACACCGGUGGUGUAGACGGCUUUCUGGACCGUAACUGACGCUGAGACACGAAAGCGUGGGUAGCAAACAGGAUUAGAUACCCUGGUAGUCCACGCCUUAAACGAUGCAUAUUUGGUGUGGGCAGUUUCAUUCUGUCCGUGCCCGAGCUAACGCGUUAAAUAUGUCCGCCCUGGGGGAGUACAGUUCGCAAGGCUUGAAACCUCAAAAGGGAAUUGACGGGGGGCCCGCACAAGCGGUUGGAGCCAU